rnacentral:lncRNA from 1 species
GGCAUGAACCUGGGAGGCGGAGCUUGCAGUGAGCCGAGAUCGCGCCACUGCACUCCAGCCUAGGUGAUAGAGUGAGACUCCGUCUCAAAAAAACAUAACAAAACAAAACAAAAAAGAAAUAGAGAACAAUUAAUCUUAUGUUCUUUCCCAAUGCUCAUCUGUUUAAUGGUGUAAGACAUUUACAAAGAUUUCUCGUACUUUGAACUCCAGUUCAAGAUUUUCUUUAAAGAAAGUUUUCCAAAUAUUUAAUAAUAAAGGAAAAAGAAGACAGUGAUUUUUUUUCUCACCAGUAUCACAUUGCAUAUGAAUAAGCAAAAUCUGAAACUCCAAGGAAAGGAAAGCUUUUUUUUCGUGACCUAGUGAAAAUAAUAGGAACAUUCAUUGAAAUGAAAACUUUUCACUGUAUAAGUUCAUAAUAAUGAUUUUAUAUAUUUUUCUAGCAUGAAUCAAUAUAUAGAGGAUUUUAACAGGACUGAAAAGCCUUGUGAAAAGAUGCAUGCAAUGAAGAAAUAGGCAAUCUUAGUAAAGAAAUAGGAACUAUAAAAGUACUAAAGGAAAAUUCUAGAACUGAAAAAUGUAAUAUCUGAAAUUAAACAAUUUGAUAGAUAGGCUUAGCAGCAGAACUGAAAUGACAGAGAAAAAGAAUAAGUGAAUUUGAAAACAGAGUAACAGAAGUUGUCCAAGCUGAAGAACAGAAAAAAAAUACUGAAGAUAAAUAACAAAGACAGUGACCUGUGGGACAGUACCAAAAGAUUUAACGUAUGAGUAGAGUAAAUGCAGAAAAAAUAUUUGAAGAUAUAAUGGCCAAGAAUUUCUGGAAUUUGGUGAAAGGCACAUGUGUGCAAAUUUCAGAGGCUCAGAGUACCCCAAGCAGAAUUAACACAAAGAAAACCAUACCUAGGCACCUCAUACUCAAACAGCUGAAAACCAAAAGUAAUAAGAAAAUCUGGAAAGCACCCAGAGAAAAAGGACACAUUACAUAAGAGAAAAAACAAUUCAAAUGACUUCUUCUUGUAAACUAUGGAGACUUGAAGACCAGAAGUCGGUGAUUUAUAUAUACAUAUAUUCAUAUAUCUCCAAAAAACUGCCAACCCAGAAUUCUAUAGCCAGAAGAAAUCCUUAAAAAAUAAAGGCAUUUCAGUAAAAGAAACUAUGAAAAUUCAUCACCAGCAGACGUUCACUCCAAGAAAUGCUAAGUUAAGUUCCUCAAACUGUAGGGAAAUGAUACCAGAGAAAAAUUCAGAUCUCUGGAAAGAAAUAAACAGCAUGGGAAAUAGUAAAUAUAUGGGUAAAUAUAAAAGAUGAGGAUUUUCAUCUUAAUUUCUUUAAGCAACUGGGUGUAGCACUGUGUGCCUAUAGUCCCAGCUACUCCAGAGGUUGAGGCAGGAGGAUUGCCUGAGCUCAGGAGUUCAAGGCUGUAGUGUGCUAUAUAACAUCUGUGAAUAGCCACUGAAUUCCAGCCUGGGCAACAUAGCAAUACCCCAUCUCUAAAAAUAGAAUACAGAAGACUGUUCAAAUUUCCAACAUGACUUUCCAUGGAUUACUUAUUUAAUUGCAAAGAAAAAAUUCACCCAUAACAAUGGAAGGAGCUGGUGGUCAAUACAUGAAUCAAGGGAUAAAACAUAGUUUCACUUGUAGGCCACCUGAUACUUUACAAUAUUAAGUACAUGAUACUAUCUAUGAAGUAGUCUUUUGAAAAUGUUUAAUCUGAAACCCAAUCAAGCCUCUAAUCAUAACCUCCAGGUCACAGUAAAUAUAGAGGACAAAGAAACAAGUUAAUCACACCUCCAGAAACAAUAAGACAAACACAGCAUGUGCAACACUAUUUAGGUCAAAUCUAAAGUCUUCAAAAAGUCUAUGUCACAAAAUGAUGAAGGGUAGGCUCUUGACUAAAAGAGACUUAAUAAGCCAUAAUCAUAUAAAAUAUAUGAGAUUAGUUUGGUUCUUGGCUUGUGAAAAAGACAGUGCUAAAAGACAUUAUUUUAAAAAUUGGAGAAAUUUGCAAAUGGAGUGAAUAUUUUAAGACAUUAUAGGGUUACUGUUAAUUUUUUUGUGACAAUGGUGUAGUAGACAUCUAGAAGAUUAUCUUUGAUCCUAGCAGUUGUAUGUUGCCUUUUUUUUAGAGGUGAAUGAUACCUAAAACAUUCACUCAAAAAACAGGAAAAGUGAUAUAUGUAAUAUAUACAUAUAUUCAUGUGUAAUAAGUAUGAUAUAUAUAUAUAUGCAUCUGUGUA